rnacentral:lncRNA from 1 species
ACAAAAGUCUUUGCUCGGCGCGCCGGCUGGGCUUCAAAAGGAAGGCUGUAGCCGGGAACCCCCUCCAGAUAGUUAGGGCUCAAUCGGCCGGCCGAGGAGCACCACCCUGCCCUCCCGCGACCACCUUCUUGACCACUGCCUGAGCUGGACACCCGUCUGGGCUGCCACUGCCCUCCCACCUGGCCUUGGAAUCCAUGGCAGCUUCCAGCAACAUACUUUCACCACAGCCGCUGAGGGAGGGACACGGGAGGAGCACCAUCAUGAAACCCAGAGACGAAGAACUUCAAUCUGAACUGAAGCAUCCAGACCAGGGGUGAUCUUGCAACCCUCGACUCACUCCCACGCUCCUUCAGGACUGCCAGGGGGACACCAGCAGCUGGCACCGCUCACCGGAAGCGGAGCUGAUGAUGGAGCAGCAGCCGCUGCCGUGACAUCCUGAUUAUACUACAGUGCUGUCAGAAGCCUUUUAGGGCGGCAGAAUGGAGGGUGAAACAAUCGUCAUGGCAACAAGCAAAGGUCUCAGAUGCUGGUUAGAAAGGAUCCAGCUAAAGGCCUGUCCAGCCAGUGUAUUGGGGUGAAUGAGUCUUGUGUGAAGUGUCAUCACUAUUUUGAAACAGUCUGUAAAACUCACCAGGGACUGUAAUUUGGGAUUCGGGGACAGUCUCAAUUUUUAAUUCUGAAGUUUGGCUUUUAUCUUAAAAUGUUGUGACCUGGAUUGGCGGAGCUGCUGAUGUGAAGCCCAUUUUGGUCCCACUACACUAUGUUUGACUAAAGAGUUCCAAUCUAUCAAAGCUACUGUGCUUCAAAUGAAGAAAAAACGUAGUCGGAAAAUGACUGAAACAUUUGGGUACCUUACCAGCUUUGGGUUUUAUUGAUACAAGAACGAAAUUUUGACAUAAUUGUAGCAUUAUAAUAAGGAGGUGCAGCACUUAUUGUCGUGGCCUCACACCUCUGAGGUUGAGGGUUCAAAUCCCGGCUUUGAGUGUGCAGAGUUUGUCCUGAGUGUGUCCCCAGUGCCCAAUGUCCCAGGGUGGUGUGUGAGUGAAUGAGUUAGUGAACAAAAGUUACAAAUGCAGAGAAAUAUCAUCCUCCAGUUCAUUGUCCUGCAUUGCUACUAGAUUUUAAAUACCAGAAAGUACAAUGCACCAUCUCUGUUAAGGGGUUCAGUUCAGACCCGGGGUUCAGUUCCGGAAGGUUACGUACUUUGCAUACUCUGUUAAAUUAGCCUCUUUUCUCAGUCACUCUGCAUUUCUAAGAACUGUCAAGUGCCAGCGGCCCUUAUUUCCCUGCUGUGACGGGAUGAGGGGCAUGACAGGA